UCGUGACUGCGUGCCUUUUGAAGAAUGAGCCUGCGAGUUUGCGGUGUGUUGCGAGGUUAACCCGUGUGGGGAAGCCGUAGCGAAAGCGAGUCCGAAUAGGGCGUUUUAGUAGCGCGCUCAAGACCCGAAGCGGAGUGAUCUAGCCAUGGGCAGGUUGAAGCGGAGGUAAGACUUCGUGGAGGACCGAACCCACCAGGGUUGAAAACCUGGGGGAUGACCUGUGGUUAGGGGUGAAAGGCCAAUCAAACUCCGUGAUAGCUGGUUCUCCCCGAAAUGCAUUUAGGUGCAGCGUCGUGUGUUUCUUGCCGGAGGUAGAGCACUGGAUAGGCGAUGGGCCCUACCGGGUUACUGACCUUAGCCAAACUCCGAAUGCCGGUAAGUGAGAGCGCGGCAGUGAGACUGUGGGGGAUAAGCUCCAUGGUCGAGAGGGAAACAGCCCAGAGCAUCGACUAAGGCCCCUAAGCGUACGCUAAGUGGGAAAGGAUGUGGAGUCGCAGAGACAACCAGGAGGUUGGCUUAGAAGCAGCCAUCCUUGAAAGAGUGCGUAAUAGCUCACUGGUCAAGUGAUUCCGCGCCGACAAUGUAGCGGGGCUCAAGCGUACCGCCGAAGUCGUGUCAUU
rnacentral:rRNA from 1 species